rnacentral:rRNA from 1 species
CUCUUCGGGGAUGAUUAAACCGGCGCACGGGUGAUUACACGCGAGUGACCUGCCUUUUAGACUGGAACAACUUACCGAAAGGUGAGCUAAUGCCGGAUGAGUUAUAUAAGUGCAUGUUUAUAUAGGAAAAGUUGGGGAGACCUGACGCUGAAAGAUGGACUCGCGUCCCAUUAGCUAGUUGGUAGGGUAAUGGCCUACCAAGGCGACGAUGGGUAGCCGGCCUGAGAGGGUGGCCGGCCACACUGGGACUGAGACACGGCCCAGACUCCUACGGGAGGCAGCAGUGGGGAAUUUUGCGCAAUGCUCGUAAGAGUGACGCAGCGACGCCGCGUGAAUGACGAAGGCCUUCGGGUCGUAAAGUUCUUUCGACAGGGAAGAAAAUGCCUAUAAGUAACUGUGUAUGUAUUGACGGUACCUGUAUAAGCAGCCCCGGCUAACUCCGUGCCAGCAGCCGCGGUAAUACGGAGGGGGCGAGCGUUGUUCGGAGUGACUGGGCGUAAAGAGCACGUAGGCGGUGUUGUAAGUCAUUAGUCAAAGACUAGAGCUCAACUUUAGUAAGGCUAGUGAUACUAUAAUACUAGAGUAUCAGAGAGGAUUGCAGAAUUCCUGGUGUAGCGGUGAAAUGCGUAGAUAUCAGGAGGAAUACCGUUAGCGAAGGCGGCAAUCUGGCUGGAAACUGACGCUGAGGUGCGAAAGCGUGGGUAGCAAACAGGAUUAGAUACCCUGGUAGUCCACGCUGUAAACGAUGGAUGCUAGGUGUUGGGCUUUUAAUUCAGUGCCGCAGCAAACGCGAUA